rnacentral:rRNA from 1 species
UACGUAGGGGGCAAGCGUUGUCCGGAUUUAUUGGGCGUAAAGAGCGUGUAGGCGGCUAGAUAGGUCCGUUGUGAAAACUCGAGGCUCAACCUCGAGACGCUGAUGGAAACCUCGUCGUGCUAGAGUCCGGAAGAGGAGAGUGGAAUUCCGUGGUGUAGCGGUGAAUGCGCAGAUAUCAGGAAGAACACCAAUGGCGAAGGCAGCU